AGAGUUUGAUCAUGGCUCAGGACGAACGCUGGCGGCGUGCUUAACACAUGCAAGUCACGGGGGCCCGCAAGGGCAACCGGCGAACGGGUGCGUAACACGUGAGCAACCUGCCGCGCUCUGGGGGAUAGCCGGCCCAACGGCCGGGUAAUACCGCAUAUACUCUUUGGUCGGCAUCGAUCGAAGAGGAAACCUCCGGGGGAGCGCGAGGGGCUCGCGGCCUAUCAGCUAGUUGGUGAGGUCAAGGCUCACCAAGGCGACGACGGGUAGCUGGUCUGAGAGGAUGGCCAGCCACAUUGGGACUGAGAUACGGCCCAGACUCCUACGGGAGGCAGCAGUGGGGAAUCUUGCGCAAUGGCCGAAAGGCUGACGCAGCGACGCCGCGUGUGGGAGGAAGCCCUUCGGGGUGUAAACCACUGUUGCCCGGGACGAAACGCCUUUUUCGAGAGGCUUGACGGUACCGGGUGAGGAAGCACCGGCUAACUCCGUGCCAGCAGCCGCGGUAAUACGGAGGGUGCGAGCGUUGUCCGGAAUCACUGGGCGUAAAGGGCGCGUAGGUGGCGUGGUAAGCGUGCGGUGAAAGCCCGGGGCUCAACUCCGGGUCUGCCGUGCGAACUGCCGCGCUUGAGCACGGUAGAGGCCAAUGGAAUUCCGGGUGUAGCGGUGGAAUGCAGAGAUCCGGAAGAACACCGGUGGCGAAGGCGGUUGGCUGGGCCGUUGCUGACACUGAGGCGCGACAGCGUGGGGAGCAAACAGGAUUAGAUACCCUAGUAGUCC
rnacentral:rRNA from 1 species